rnacentral:tRNA from 1 species
UGACGUAUAGCUCAGUGGUAGAGCAAUCGGCUUUUAACCGAUUGGUCGAUGGUUCGAACCCAUCUACGUUCA